GUUCCCCUCGAUAGGUUUUUUAUGUCCAACGCCCCCUUCCCGGUCUAAACCCUAGCGCAGUCUCUGCUCCAUCGUGCACCCCAACCGCCGCUCUAGGGUUUCUGGCCGCUGCCCCGUCCAGUCGUCCGAUCAGAUCCACGGGUGAGAAGGGAGCGGAGGAGGAGGGAGGUGCGCCGGAGGGCUUGAGCGCCUGCAUGGCCGCUGUCCUUGACGUCGGAUGGCUUGAGAUCCCAGCUUCAGCCGCCGUCCACGGUUGCCUGCCUCUCUGCUAGCAGCUCCAGGCCUUCAGGAGGACUCGCCACCCUUGCCGCCUCCACUGCGAGCGGAGGGGACAUAGGUGGUGGGUAUGUCCGCCAUGACUAGGGCCGCCACGACAACACAGGCGGCGGCCGUGAAUAUGGAACCAUGGACACUGCGCUCCAGGGCCUCCUCCGUGUGUUCGACUUCAGCCUUGACAGCUUCUUUCCUAGGUCUCCCGCUGCUGCCAUCGCAACCUCCGUCCGGGGCAGUGGGGAGAGGGGACACGCGGGAUUAGAGAUCCCCUUACAGUUUCCCCCACCGGUCGAUUUCAUGGGAAGGAUUUGCCGCAUUUGAUUUGGCACGAUUUUGAUAUGGGGCUGUUGUCCCUGAUUCGUAUCGAUUGUCUGCAAGUUGGUCCUUUUUCUCAUUGUUUUUGGUCCAGUUCUUCCACGUGUGUUUGCUUUGUUUGUGCGUUCAGUUAGCAGCGAUGGAUGUUCUUCGAGUUCAGGUCAGUUGUGGUCUGCUUCAUGGCAAGGUGCAUUGGUUCAAGCCCAGAGGUGUGGUACAACAAUAGAGCCGACAGGGAAGCAUGCAUUUUGCUGGCGGGGGUCUCAUCAUGUUGCUACUGUCAGUAGAGAUGGCAAAAUGCACGCAACUUCGCCGGAUGUUGGUGCAACCGCCACUUGCUUCCUUUUCCAUAAACUGUUCUCAGCACUCCAUGUCUGACAUUCGUGCUAUUCCGAGACAGAAAAAUGCACAAGAAGAUCAACAUUAGAGAGAGCUGAAGCCUAAAGUGUUUUAUUGAUUUGGAUAUUGCUAGGUGCUCCAAACAUGAAGAUUUUCCUCUACGAGAGUGCAAAGUUGGAUCCAUGACGAACUCAAGCAAAUCUGAGACAUAUAUCUAAUAUCCUUUGUCCAGUCGGUUUUCCACAUUGAGAUUAUUUCAUGAAGCAACAACCGUGGUAUAAAAAACAAUUGUGGCAUGCCUAUUAUCCUUAAAUUGAAACUUUAUUUUAUAACCUGCUUAACCUAACCAACAACCUCUUAUUGUUUUUAUUCUGUACUAUAGCAUCACAUUUUUAUAUACGAGGCUGCACACUACUGAACUACGAUAUUGUACAUCACUCUCCAGCACAUCACUCAGUGGAACUAGACAGGCUAUCUUCAGCUUACGAACAAGAAUUUUCUUUCCUUUUGGUUUCUACUAAGGAUUAGUUGGUAGAUUUAUAUCUAUACCUUCUGGUUUGUCUUCUCCCUUGCAUUUUAUGCAUUAUUAUUCUGUAUUCACAUUUUAUCGUCCAUACUUAAUUUUGAGAAAUCACACUAUAACUUAAUUACAAUUCACGCUUUAGGAUUUGUUCUCUUACUCAACGGAGAAGAAUAGUAAGUAGUGUAUACAUCUAUAUUAAUUUCCAUCUAUAUUUACAAUUCAUUAGAAUGGUAAAUGCAUGUCUUGCACUUCUAAUAUUCCUCCUUAGCCCAGUAGUUCUGUAAUUAUCACCAUUUUAUUAGAAGAUUGAGAAAACAUGAUUUAUGUGACACAAUAACCUGGUGCCCUUGAUUCAUGUUGGAGAAUUCACAGGGAGCGGACUGGUGCUCUUGACGAGAUGAGAAAAUACGAGGAAAAUGAAUGGAGAUGAAAAGGAAAUAAAAAGGGAUAGCUGGACCAGUUCAAACACUAAUAAUUUUGGUUUAAUUAUUCUUAGGGUACCUAUAGUCUUCAGAUGACUUGUUACGGUUUAUGAAAAAUGAUCCUCUCGAAGCGCAACAAUGUGCAUGUAUUUUCCCUUGCAACCUAACAUGACAGAGCUACCUGCGGUGGUCGGCAUGUAUUGUGCUCAGUUGAUUGCCGUCAUGCUCGAUAGUGCGUUCUCUGUUAAAGCUGAUGUAUGAGGAUCAAUUAGAUUAGCGAAACUGAAUCUUGUUUGGAUGCACGGGAGUACUGCAGUUCAGUUUUUUCCUGCAUCAACUAGCCAAAACAGCGUUUCAGGCAUUCGGCAAAAUGGUGACGAGGAUCAAUUGGUUCAGUGCUUAUUCAAAAACAGAUUCAAGAGGUUAUGCAAAUUAUUAGCCAACAGUUCAGUCUCAUAUUGACAUAUAUCUGCAAUGUACGUGCAUUAGAAUUGUCAUUCCUAGAAGUACUUUAUACAUGCAACUUCCUUUGAGAGAGACUAGAUUAAUUUGAGGUUGAAUUAGUUCAACCUUGGCGAUGAUGGUGAAUUUUCUCCAAAUAUUUCCAGGCAAGUAGGAUUUGAUUUUACCUUAUUCCAAAUUUGAGGUACAUUAAUUUGAUAUAUUAUGCUGCAGACGGACACUAUAUUUUCCCCACUUUUCUCUGUUUGGUUAUUUACUUAUAAUGAAUCUAUAUCACCCAUGAAGCAAGCAAGGCCUCGUAUUAUUUUCUACAUUUUUGUUCUAAUUUAUCCUUUCUCUUCCUGCUAGCUUUGGAAUGACUAGAUCAUCACAUGAAGGAACUGUGGCAUCCAAUGGAACAUAAUAAUGAUACAUCCGUGCUGCAUUCUGGUGAGACAAUCUGAUAAAGAAAUUAAUUGGUUGCUUGGUGUAUUGCAGGGGUUAGCCUUCUGUUGGACGUGGAAACUGGAGAGAAAGCUAGCUGGUGUUGUCGCUGCAACCAAAUGCGUAUGGAAUAGGUUCUUAUUAGGGUAUUUUACUUAUACGAAGGCGAGUUACUUAAUGCAUCACCAUCGUUGAUAACGGAAUCUGGAACCUUGACAAAGAUUCAGAGAAAGUACUUCAAUAUUUAUAAGGUGGCUAAUUUGCACAGUCUGGCAUGUUGUAAAAUGUUCCAACUUCAGUAAAUACAUGACGAGAUACAUCCACCCCAAGGAAAUGAGCUCUGCUACAUUGAUAAGAAUAACUCAAAGAUGAGGUCCAUGGUUCUGUGCAGAUUGAAUUUCCUUUCAUGUUUGUUUCAUAUUCUUGUGUUCUAACACAAAUAAACAUGUUUUGAAAAUGGAAGGUUCUAUCCUGAGUUGUUUUAGAUAUGGCUGCCCCUAUUUUGAAAUGUUAAAUUCUUUGUUAAGUUCUGGUCUCUGGGAAAAAGCUUGAGAGGGCGGAAAUGCAUCGGUCCGCUUAUUUUCACUGACAAUGAAGACCCACAUGAUGUGGAGACGUCAAUCCAACCCGUUGCCUACAUACAAUAGAUAUAUUGUUCAGUUAUAAUUAGCCAUGGACUGUUACUCUGGUUUCUUUCUUCAGUCGAAGACAUUAGAGAACCUAAAGAAUAUCAUAUCUUUCAUCGUACGAGUAUUUUUUCAUUUUGAUUUUAGUAUUCACCUCAGCUGUCUUCAAAAUUCAUUUUCAUCUGUGUAU